UUCUGUGGGGGCGGAGCGGCCGGCCGCAACUUGCGGUUCGAGCUAGCGCUUCCCCUAUAUCCUGCCGCGAACCGUGCUACCAUUAGUUUGGUGGCGCCGGGGAUCGGCUCGUUUACUUUGAGAAAAAUAGAGUGUUCAAAGCAGGCCACACGCCUUGAAUAAGUUAGCAUGGAAUAAUAAUAAAGGACUUCGGUUCUAUUUUGUUGGUGUUCGGGACUGAAGUAAUGAUUGAUAGGGACAGUUGGGGCGGUCAGUAUUCCAAAGCGAGAGGUGAAAUUCUUAGACCUUCGGAAGACUAACAGCUGCGAAAGCGUUCCGCAAGGAUGUUCCCUUUGAUCAAGAACGAAAGUUGGGGGAUCGAAGACGAUCAGAUACCGUCGUAGUCUCAACUAUAAACUAUACCAGCUAGGGAUCGGCCAACGUUAAAUUAUUCGACUUGGUCGGCACCUUAUGAGAAAUCAAAGCAUCUGGGUUCCGGGGGGAGUAUGGUCGCAAGGCUGAAACUUAAAGGAAUUGACGGAAGGGCACCACCAGCCGUGGAGCCUGUGGCUUAAUUUGACUCAACACGGGAAAACUUACCAGGUCCAGACAUAGUAAGGAUUGACAGAUUGAUAGCUCUUUCUUGAUUCUGUGGGUGGUGGUGCAUGGCCGUUCUUAGUUGGUGGAGUGAUUUGUCUGGUUAAUUCCGUUAACGAACGAGACCCCAGCCUGCUAAAUAGCGCGGUUGAGCUUUGCUCGGCGCGAGCUUCUUAGAGGGACUAUGAUGCGCGAUAGCACAUGGAAGUUUGGGGCAAUAACAGGUCUGUGAUGCCCUUAGAUGUUCUGGGCCGCACACGGGCUACACUGGCGCCUGCAACGAGCAUAUCAGCUGGCCCGAGAGGGUCUUGGCUAAUCUUUUGAACCGGCGCCGUGCUUGGGAUUGACCAUUGCAAUUGUUGGUCAUGCAACGAGGAAUGCCUUGUAAACGCGAGUCAUCAACUCGCAUUGAAUACGUCCCUGCCCUUUGUACACACCGCCCGUCGCUCUACCGAUGAUG
rnacentral:rRNA from 1 species